rnacentral:tRNA from 1 species
CAGGGAGACAACAAAAUGUUAAAUAUUAAUUUUGUCACCUUAGGUCGAUCGGUAUCUCACAUUCUUAAUUUAUUUAAGAAUUUUAUUUCCUAAGUUUUUCUAGGUCACACCCAUCAUUUUUCCUGGGCCAUUAGCUCAGGUGGUUAGAGCGCACCCCUGAUAAGGGUGAGGUCCCUGGUUCAAGUCCAGGAUGGCCCAUAUCUCUAUGUUGGGGGUAUAGCUCAGUUGGUAGAGCGCCUGCUUUGCAAGCAGGAUGUCAGCGGUUCGAGUCCGCUUACCUCCACUGAAUACCACCUCUUCCAUAAAUUUAUAGAAGGGAAAUUUUGAGUUGUGAUCUAAUUCUGAACGAAUCUAGCUUCCUAAUUUCAAUCAUUAAGAUGCUGGACUCAUUGAAUUAAUUUCAUUGUUUUCAGAGAACCUUGACAACUGCAUAGAUUAUUUUUAAAGACAAUAAGCAUCUUUAAUGAUGCAGAUUUAUUAUUUGUGCUAAUGCAUUAAUAACAAUUCUAUUAAGCUGAUGCUUCAAUUUUGAAGUUAUU